rnacentral:rRNA from 1 species
UACGGGGGGGGCAAGCGUUGUUCGGAAUUACUGGGCGUAAAGGGUUCGUAGGUGGCCAACUAAGUCAGACGUGAAAUCCCUCGGCUUAACCGGGGAACUGCGUCUGAUACUGGAUGGCUUGAGUGUGGGAGAGGGAUGCGGAAUUCCAGGUGUAGCGGUGAAAUGCGUAGAUAUCUGGAGGAACACCGGUGGCGAAGGCGGCAUCCUGGACCAUUACUGACACUGAAAAGCGAAAGCCAGGGGAGCAAACGGG